rnacentral:lncRNA from 1 species
AAGAAAAAAAAUCAGGGAAAUGGAGGUUGUUACAUGAUCUUAGAGAGAUUAAUAAACAAAUGGUCAUUAUGGGACCUAUUCAAAGAGGUUUGCCCUUACCAUCGGUGCUUCAAAAAGCAUGGCCAGUGAUAGUUUUAGAUAUUAAAGAUUGCUUCUUUUCCAUCCCCUUGCAUGAACAAGAUGCAGUAAGAUUUGCAUUUACUUUGCCUUCUAUAAAUCAUGAAGAACCAGAUAAGAGGUUUGAGUGGGUUGUUUUGCCCCAGGGCAUGGCCAAUAGUCCCACUAAGUGUCAGCUAUAUGUAGAUGCAGCCUUAUAUGAGGUUAGACAGGAAUUCCCCAGAAUAAAAUGUUAUCAUUAUAUGGAUGAUGUCCUUCUGGCAGCACCGACAGAGGAAAUGCUGGAUUUGGCAUAUAGUAAGACCACACAACAGCUACAAAAGAGAAGGCUUACAGUAGCCCCUGAAAAGGUACAGAAGGACAAGGCCAUCCAUUAUUUAGGAAGCAAAAUAACAGAAAGAUAUAUAACUCCACAGAAGAUUCAAAUUAGAACUGAUCAUCUAAGGACUUUAAAUGAUUUUCAAAAGUUGCUAGGAAAUAUUCAAUGGGUUAGACCUUAUCUGGGUCUAUCAAAUAAGCAGUUGUAACCUCUUUAUGACAUCUUGCCAGGAGCAACAGCCCUGGAUUUAGAAAGAGUUCUUACAGAAGAAGGAAGGAAAGCCUCAAAGUUAGUAGAGAAGGCUAUUCAAAUUGCUGCUUUAAAAAGGAGAGAGGUUGAUCUUCCUAUAUCAUUAUAUAUUUUGCCAUCAGAAAAUCAACCUACUGGGGCCCUUUGGCAAGGGGCUCCUUUAUUAUGGAUCCAUCCUAAAAUUUCCCCUGACAAAGUGUUAUCCUAUUAUCCUGCCUCAGUUGCCCAAUUGGCAUUGCUGGGUUUACAGCAAUGCGUGCAGCAUUUUGGUACCCCUCCUGAUGAAAUUAUUGUGCCAUAUGAUAGUAGACAAGUUGAACUGUUGUCUGCCACUGUAGAUGACUGGGCAGUUUUAAGGUGCAGUUUUUUAGGCAAGAUAGGUAAUCAUUUUCCCAAAGAUCCUACUUUACAGUUGUGUAAAGCUCACCUGGUAAUUUUUCCUGUUAUUACCCCUCGAGUAACAAUUGAAAGGGGCUCCUCUAAUUUUUACAGAUGGAUCAAAGUCAGGAUGUGGGGCCCAUUUAGUUCAAGGCUCUGCGCCUAUAGUUUUACAAUCUCCCACCCCUGCCUCUACUGCAAGUUAUAGAAUUACAGAUUGUGAUUAAAGUUUUUGAAUUGUAUUCUGAAUCCUUUAAUUUAAUAUCAGAUAGUCAAUAUGUGGUUAAUGCUCUUGCUAUCUUGGAGGUGGUUGGUAGGGUGAAUCUUAGGUCCAGCAUUGAGGAUUUAUUAAGUAAAUUACAAAAUUUGCUAUUGCAUAGAUCCUCCCCCUUCUUUGUUCAGCAUAUCCGAGCUCAUACUGGGUUACCAGGUCCAUUGGCUGAGGGUAAUGACAUAGUGGAUAAGGCAGCACAAGCUGCUGUAUUUCUGGCAUGUCCUGCCCUUGACCUUGCUCGUGAUUUUCAUUCUAAAUUUCAUGUAAAUUCUAAAACAUUAGCCUCUCGCUUUGGGAUCACCCGAGCAGAGACCAGGGAGAUUGUCAAGGCCUGUCAGGCCUGCGCUCCUUUAUUACCUCAACCCUCCUUUGGAGUUAACCCAUAAGGGUUACUUCCCCUACACGUUUGGCAGGUGGAUGUUACCCAUUUUGCCGAAUUUGGAAAAUUACAGUUUAUUCAUGUUUCAAUUGAUACUGCCUCUGGAGUCAUUUUUGCUUCUUUGCAUACUGGAGAAAAGGCCCGUCAUGUCAUAGCACAUUGCUUUGAAGCAUGGGGCACUUGGGGUCAACCCAAAGAAUUAAAAACUGAUAAUGGUCCUGCUUAUACUUCCAAUACUUUUGUUAGCUUUUGUAAGAUGAUGGGCAUUCAUCUUGUACAUGGUAUACCCUAUAACCCUCAGGGGCAGGGAAUAAUUGAACGUGCUCAUCAUACCUUAAAAGAAUGCUUAAUAAAACAAAAAGGGGGAGUUGCCCUAGGGGCGACUCCCCGGGAACACCUUUCUAUAGCCUUAUUUACUCUUAAUUUUUUAAAUAAAGAUACAUUUGAUUGUACUGCUGCAGAGAGAUUCAGUAAUCCUGAUGCAUCUCAGAAGGGAACUGUUAUAUGGAAGGACAUGUUGGAUGGCCAAUGGCAUGAGCCAGAUCCAGUGUUGGUGUGGGCAAGAGGGUCUGUUUGUGUGUUUCCCCAGGACUGCCGCCAGCCGUUGUGGGUACCUGAACAACUGACUCGAGUGCUGAAGGAUGACCAGAUGUGUGAUGCUGAUUCUCCUGGGAAUACUGAUGAUGGUGACAGGGUGCAGAAGCAAGGAGCUAAAUCAGAGAGUUGAUCUAGUGCAGGAACAAGUUGAUGUAUUGAUGUGAGUGGAUCGCACAGGGAACUGGUCAUGUCAACUUGAUGGUAUGCUGAGAGAUCUCUAACAGCCCAUUGUUCACAUCGUCACAGCAAUAUCGCACCUCAAGGAAUGGGCUGGCAUAGGAGGGCUGGCAAUCAUCUGCGUUGCCACAGGAGUAAUGGCCCUGUGGUGCAUUUGCCGUAUGC